UACAGAGACCUCAAGCGUUAUCCGGAAUUAUUGGGCGUAAAGCGUCCGCAGGUGGCUAUUCAAGUCUGCGGUCAAAGACUGGGGCUUAACCCUGGAAAGGCCGUGGAAACUGAAGAGCUAGAGUGCAGUAGGGGUAGAGGGAAUUCCCGGUGUAGCGGUGAAAUGCGUAGAGCUCGGGAAGAACAUCGGUGGCGAAAGCGCUCUGCUGGACUGCAACUGACACUCAGGGACGAAAGCUAGGGGAGCGAAUGGG
rnacentral:rRNA from 1 species